rnacentral:rRNA from 1 species
AGUGAACGCUGGCGGUAGGCCUAACACAUGCAAGUCGAACGACAGCACAGUAAGCGCUUGCUCUUACGGGUGGCGAGUGGCGGACGGGUGAGGAAUACAUCAGCAUCUACUUUUUCGUGGAGGAUAACGUGGGGAAACUUACGCUAAUACCGCAUACUACCUACGGGUGAAAGCAAGGGAUCUUCGGACCUUGCCCGAUUGAAUUAGACGAUGUCGGAUUAGCUAGUUGGCGGGGUAAAGGCCCACCAAGGCGACGAUCCGUAGCCGAUCUGAGAGGAUGAUCAGCCACACUGGAACUGAGACACGGUCCAGACUCCUACGGGAGGCAGCAGUGGGGAAUAUUGGACAAUGGGCGCAAGCCUGAUCCAGCAACACCGCGUGGGUGAAGAAGGCCUUCGGGUUGUAAAGCCCUUUUGUUGGGAAAGAAAAGCAGCAGGUUAAUCCCCCGCUGUUCUGACGGUACCCAAAGAAUAAGCAACGGCUAACUUCGUG